rnacentral:rRNA from 1 species
UACGGAGGAUCCAAGCGUUAUCCGGAUUCACUGGGUUUAAAGGGUGCGUAGGUGGAAUGACAAGUCAGUGGUGAAAACCUGCAGCUUAACUGUAGAACUGCCAUUGAUACUGUUGUUCUUGAGUACAUUUGAUGUGAGCGGAAUGUGUCGUGUAGCGGUGAAAUGCUUAGAUAUGACACAGAACACCAAUUGCGAAGGCAGCUCACAAAACUGUAACUGACACUGAGGCACGAAAGCGUGGGGAUCAAACAGG